AGAUUGGAAAUGAUUUGUUUUGAGCGGGGGUCAAGAGCAAUAACGAAAAAUGUUUGUCAUAAACCGUUUUUCAUUAUUGCUCCUGACCUCCUCUCAUUUGCUAUAUUCAAUUAAGUAA
rnacentral:precursor_RNA from 1 species